rnacentral:rRNA from 1 species
AUUGAACGCUGGCGGCAGGCCUAACACAUGCAAGUCGAACGAGUGGCGGACGGGUGAGUAAUGUCUGGGAAACUGCCUGAUGGAGGGGGAUAACUAGUGGAAACGGUAGAUAAUACCGCAUACCAUCGGAUGUGCCCAGAUGGGAUUAGCUAGUAGGUGGGGUAAGGGCUCAACUAGGCGACGAUCCCUAGCUGGUCUGAGAGGAUGACCAGCGACACUGUAACUGAGACACGGGCCAGACUCCUACGGUAGGCAGCAGUGGGGAAUAUUGCACAAUGGGCGCAAGCCUGAUGCAGCCAUGCCGCGUGUAUGAAGAAGGCCUUCGGGUUGUAAAGUACUUUCAGCGGGGAGGCGUUACCCGCAGAAGAAGCACCGGCUAACUCCGUGCCAGCCGCCGCGGUAAUAC